rnacentral:rRNA from 1 species
AAGGAGUCGUCGGCAGCGUCAGAUGUGUAUAAGAGACAGCUGUUAUAUGAAGACCAGCGUAAUGAGCUUGUCGGAUUUUCAGAGAGGUGGUGCAUGGCCGUCGUCAGUUCGUACUGUAAAGCGUUCUGUUAAGUCAGAUAACGAACGAGACCCUCAUCUCUAUUUGCUACCCGUCUCUCCGGAGGCGGCGCACUAUAGGGAGACCGCUGGUGUGAAACCAGAGGAAGGGGAGGGCAACGACAGGUCAGUAUGCCCCGAAUGUCCUGGGCUACACGCGCGCUACAAAGGGCAGGACAAUGGGAUGCUAGGCCGAGAGGCAUUCAAGCUAACCCGAAACCUGUUCAUAGUUCGGAUUGAGGGCUGUAACUCGCCCUCAUGAAGCUGGAUUCCGUAGUAAUCGUGUUUCAAUAUAGCACGGUGAAUAUGCCCCUGCUCCUUGCACACACCGCCCGUCAAACCAUCUUAGUUGGGGGUGGGUGAGGCUGCGCUUACUUCGGUAUGGCGUAUUCGAGCCUGCCUUCGACAAGGAGGGUUAAGUCGUAACAAGGUAUCUGUAGGGGAACCUGCAGAUG